rnacentral:rRNA from 1 species
UACGUAGGUGGCGAGCGUUGUCCGGAUUUACUGGGCGUAUAGGGAGCGUAGGCGGACUUUUAAGUGAGAUGUGAAAUACUCGGGCUCAACUUGAGUGCUGCAUUUCAAACUGGAAGUCUAGAGUGCAGGAGAGGAGAAUGGAAUUCCUAGUGUAGCGGUGAAAUGCGUAGAGAUUAGGAAGAACACCAGUGGCGAAGGCGAUUCUCUGGACUGUAACUGACGCUGAGGUUCGAAAGCGUGGGUAGCAAACAGG